CAGUAGCCGCGGGAAUACGAAGGGUGCAAGCGUUGCUCGGAAUUACUGGGCGUAAAGGGCGCGUAGGCGGACAGUUUAGUCGGGGGUGAAAGCCCGGGGCUCAACCUCGGAAUUGCCUUCGAUACUGGCUGUCUUGAGUGUGAGAGAGGUGUGUGGAACUCCGAGUGUAGAGGUGAAAUUCAUAGAUAUUCGGAAGAACACCAGUGGCGAAGGCGACACACUGGCUCACUACUGACGCUGAGGCGCGAAAGCGUGGGGAGCAAACAGGAUUAGAUACCCCAGUAGUCCCUGUCUCUUAUAC
rnacentral:rRNA from 1 species